AUGGCUAUAUCACAUUGAAACACUGGUUCUCGUAUAAUCACUGAAGUUAAGCUACAUCACGCUUCAUCAGUAUCUAGAUGGGUGAUCACUUGGGAAUGCCCGGUGCUGUAAG